AGAGGAUACUGUAUGACAGGGACAAUACGAGCUUAUUAUGGGGCUUUAGAAGAAGUUUGGCACCAGUUGGUCUGACCAUUUUUGAGCAUCUUUGUCGCUGCCCCACCCUUAGCUACUGCCCAACCUCCUGGUCUGAACAGAGGGAAGUAACCGCAGUUCCCCAGAGACAAUUCCACAAGGCCUCAAAUUGCCCAGCUUUCUCACUGCUAAUGUUCUUAGGAUUAACUAACAAAUCCUGUUUCCAGUCCCUCAAGGAAAUACACUCAAUCUCCAUCUCUGGGAAUGCUGGAGGGCAUGCUCUCAUAGCUUGAGAGGCCAAGAGAUGAGCUGAGAGACCAUCAGAGCUGCCAUCCUCACCACACUAUCUACCACAGCAUUCCCUAAAGAGCCCAGUUUCCUACUUCCCACGAUCCCUGUGCUUGUGAGAAGGAGAGUCAGAAAGUGCAAGGGCUCCUCCAUCAGCUGCUCCAGCAUCUCACCUCACCUGUCUGGUUCUGAGUCCCAAAGGCUACUAGUGAGACAGAGUUGGGUACUGAGGGACCCACAGGCAGGAAACAACCAGGAAAGUUAUCAAAAAAUCAUGGUCCACUCUGGAAACAAACUGUCAUGCUCAAGGACGGACAAGACUCAAACUGCAAGUGACUGGAGAAGCCACGAUUCUGUUGCCUUCCAGAACCCAGACACCCAGCCCCAACUCAGUACUUCUCGAAUAUCGGAGUUUGAGAAAUUCUGCUUUCAGUUGGUCCAAGUGUUCUUCAUGGCCUCUGAGUGCCCCAGGAUCAAGGAGGACCAGAAAAAGUCCUGGCUCCCAAGAGGGUGUGGGAAUCAAGAUAAGAUUUAGGUGACUCCAUUAUGAGGUGACUGGUAGAGAAAGGAGCCACUCUAUCCUUCCCCUAGUUGCUCGUGAAAGAAAAAAGAAAAAACUCAGAGCUACACAUCCAUCCCUCAACAAAGGAAACAAACUCUCCUGCAAAAUACAGGGGACUGAUUUGGGCACUGGGGCCCUGUCCACCUCAGUGCUGCAAGAAACAAGAGGAGGGGAAAACCCUGAGCAUUAAACAACAAAUAUUUCGUGACGAGUACAUUCUCCUCAGCUACCAAGUCCAAAGCUACUUGAUAUAUUUCUGAGCU